rnacentral:lncRNA from 1 species
ACAACAGCUCGUUUCCCUUGCUGUCUCCUUUUCCAACGCUCCAUGAUGAGAAUACCACUGACUAUGGAAGGUUGAGGUCUGGGCAGAGGCUUGAUCUGAACACAUCCGGGCAUUUCAGCAGCCGGGCUUCCCUUCCGGUCCCUUUUCCCGUGAACAUCCUGCAGGUGUCUCCGACGGCCAUAGCAAAGUUUCAAUUCCACAUAAUGUAUAAUUAUGGCAACACAAGCAUAAAUUACCAAGGACAAGAAGCUGCAAAGUAAUUAUAUGAUUAUUUGUUACUUUGAAGUUUUCUAUUCUUCUUUUAAGCCAAUAACCAUUAAAAGCAUUCCUUUUGAGGAGGGGUGGGAGAAAGCAGGUGGCACGAGAGGAGCGCCCUGGGCACGUGAGGGGUGCUUCCAGUCAGAGGUGACAUCAGAGGUGAAAAGCCUCCAACCUUGGCGCCUUCUACAGUAACAUCCCCGAUCCCUCUUAUUUCCUCCAACCCCCCCCCCCAAAAAAAAAAAAAAAAGCUCUGCUGCUGCUCCCAGAUGCCUAGUUGGAGAGAUCUGUGAGAAAAGAGUUCAAGGGAAAACAUGAAGAAAUUGACUUGCCUAGGAUACCAGGAUAACAGAAGAGGUAUGGAUCAGGACUCGGAAGUCUUUCAACCUUUAAGUCCCACUGUUUUCUCUCCUAUCUACUGACCCAGAUCCCAAACUGCAAAAUCAAGAGUAGCUAACAAAAGCUCAACGUGUUGGAAUGGACAUGAAUUGUCCUGACCUCAGUAUCACUGACAUCAAUGAGUUGGAUCACAAUCAAUUCUGCUCUACCUCCUUAUCUUUACUCUGUGUGUGGCCAUCUCCCUGCUUCAAAUGUGCUUCUUGUAAGGAAAGUAUUGUAGGAUUCUGGUUUUUAAUUCACUCUUCUAUCAGCUUCCUUUUUAUGGAUUCCAUCCUCUCUUGGAGAAAGCCGAGAGGGAAAAGCAUCUAAUCACAUUUGAUCUCCCUAUUUUUACCUAUGAUUUUCCUUCUCAAUAAACUAACUAUACCCAGAACCA